GUCUAUGGUCAUACCACCCUGAACACACCAGAUCUCUUCCUAUCUCCAAAGCUAAACAGGGUCCAUUCUAGUUAGUACUUGGAUGGGACUGAGGCAUAUUACAGCCCUAUGAGUU
rnacentral:rRNA from 1 species